UUUCGCAAUGCCCGAAAGGGUGACGAAGCGACGCCGCGUGUGGAAAGAAGGCCUUCGGGUUGUAAACCACUGUCGGGAGUUAAGAAAGGUGUACGGGUAAAUAGUCCGUGCAUUUGACAAAAGCUCCGGAGGAAGCCACGGCUAACUCUGUGCCAGCAGCCGCGGUAAUACAGAGGUGGCAAGCGUUGUUCGGAAUUAUUGGGCGUAAAGAGCACGUAGGCAGCCCUGCAAGUCAGCUGUGAAAGCCUCCUGCUUAACGGGAGAAGUGCAGUUGAAACUACGGGGCUAGAGUGCGGAAGGGGAGAGUGGAACUUCUGGUGGAGCGGUGAAAUGCGUAGAUAUCAGAAGGAACACCGGCGGCGAAAGCGGCUCUCUGGUCCGUAACUGACGCUGAGGUGCGAAAGCCAGGGGAGCAAACGGGAUUAGAUACCCCGGUAGUCCUGACCGUAAACGAUGGGCACUAAGUAGAGGGGUUUU
rnacentral:rRNA from 1 species